UACGUAGGGUGCGAGCGUUGUGCGGAAUUAUUGGGCGUAAAGCGCUCGUAGGCGGCUUGUCACGUCGGUUGUGAAAGCCCGGGGCUUAACCCCGGGUCUGCAUUCGAUACGGGCAGGCUAGAGUGUGGUAGGGGAGAUCGGAAUUCCUGGUGUAGCGGUGAAAUGCGCAGAUAUCAGGAGGAACACCGGUGGCGAAGGCGGAUCGCUGGGCCAGUACUGACGCUGAGGAGCGAAAGCGUGGGGAGCGAACAGG
rnacentral:rRNA from 1 species